rnacentral:rRNA from 1 species
GAGCACCUACGGGACGCAGCAGUCGGGAAUAUUGCGCAAUGGAGGAAACUCUGACGCAGUGACGCCGCGUAUAGGAAGAAGGUUUUCGGAUUGUAAACUAUUGUCGUGAGGGAAGAAAUUGACAGUACCUCAGGAGGAAGCUCCGGCUAACUAUGUGCCAGCAGCCGCGGUAAUACAUAGGGAGCAAGCGUUAUCCGGAUUUAUUGGGUGUAAAGGGAGCGUAGACGGCAGGGCAAGUCUGGAGUGAAAGCCCGGGGGCCAACCCCGGGACUGCUUUGGAAACUGCCAUGCUGGAGUGCUGGAGG